AUUGAACGCUGGCGGCAUGCCUUACACAUGCAAGUCGAACGGCAGCACGGGUGCUUGCACCUGGUGGCGAGUGGCGAACGGGUGAGUAAUACAUCGGAACAUGUCCUGUAGUGGGGGAUAGCCCGGCGAAAGCCGGAUUAAUACCGCAUACGAUCUACGGAUCAAAGCGGGGGCCCGUCUGGCCUCGCGCUAUAGGGUUGGCCGAUGGCUGAUUAGCUAGUUGGUGGGGUAAAGGCCUACCAAGGCGACGAUCAGUAGCUGGUCUGAGAGGACGACCAGCCACACGGGGACUGAGAAACGGCCCAGACUCCUACGGGAGGCAGCAGUGGGGAAUUUUGGACAAUGGGCGAAAGCGUGAUCCAGCAAUGCCGCGUGUGUGAAGAAGGCCUUCGGGUUGUAAAGCAAUGUUGUCCGGAAAGAAAUCCUUGGCCCUAAUACGGUCGGGGGAUGACGGUACCGGAAGAAUAAGCACCGGCUAACUACGUG
rnacentral:rRNA from 1 species